AUUGAACGCUGGCGGCAGGCCUAACACAUGCAAGUCGAGCGGUAACACAGAGAGCUUGCUCUCGGGUGACGAGCGGCGGACGGGUGAGUAAUGUCUGGGAAACUGCCUGAUGGAGGGGGAUAACUACUGGAAACGGUAGCUAAUACCGCAUAACGUCGCAAGACCAAAGAGGGGGACCUUCGGGCCUAUUGCCAUCAGAUGUGCCCAGCUGGGAUUAGCUAGUAGGUGGGGUAACGGCUCACCUAGGCGACGAUCCCUAGCUGGUCUGAGAGGAGGACCAGCCACACUGGAACUGAGACACGGUCCAGACUCCUACGGGAGGCAGCAGUGGGGAAUAUUGCACAAUGGGCGCAAGCCUGAUGCAGCCAUGCCGCGUGUAUGAAGAAGGCCUUCGGGUUGUAAAGUACUUUCAGCGGGGAGGAAGGCGAUAAGGUUAAUAACCUUGUCGAUUGACGUUACCCGCAGAAGAAGCACCGGCUAACUCCGUGCCAGCCGCCGCCGUAACAC
rnacentral:rRNA from 1 species